GUUUACCUGACGAGUCCCAAAAAGGGCGAAACCCAUCGUGGAC
rnacentral:hammerhead_ribozyme from 1 species